GGAAUCUGAAUAUCUUUUCACCCCAUGAGGAAUUAGUUUGGUAAAAGUACUUAAUGUUUACAGCAAACAUGUGGUAAACAUAUUCGUUGUUACAGGUUUCUCCGGAGACAGGUGUGUAACACCAUUAGGUCCAAGCCUGAAAAAUUUAGGGGAAAGUUACAAGGUCAUUUGCUAGGUUGAUUUAGCAGCGACAUCAAUUCCUGCUGCAUGUGCCUGUGUCCCAUCCCCUUGCUUUAGCACCAGUAACUUCCACCUAUUCAAAGUGUCAGAUUCUCCUUACUGUUUCUGAAGCUGGAUGGAAACUGUGGUGCUGUGAUUCAAACAGGGGUGCGUGGAUGUGUCUUGUCUUAGCCCAGCCCCAUCAGGUGCCAUUGAACUGCACUGAGUGACUUCUCACCAUGGGUGUAUUGCACCCAUCGUGCAGGUGUGCUGUAGGGUUAUGACUCACCGUGACUCAACAUGAACUCAUAAAGCCACAUCAGCCCAGGUCUUCAUGUGAUUUAAAGAUUUCAAGUGGUAGAGGAUCUACAAUGUUCCUUAUUCCUGUGGACUUUGCAACACCACAGAAAAUAUUGUUCUUUGUUAUAGGAGCUGAAUAUUUGAGAGAGAGCAACAUGAAGACUAAAUACUCUCACAUAUUCCUGGUGUCAAAAAUUCUUGUGUGGCAAGGAAACAGCAGUACAUCUCCUGAUCUCCAGACAGCAUGGGAACAGCUGAAUCAUCCAGUCCUUCUGUCCUCUUG